AUAAGAUUGACCACCACAAGAAAAAUUUAUAAAAAUUCUCAUUUUUUUUUUUUACUUAGACCAAACUUAAAGAAAUGGAGAUUAAUGAAUUUGUGGUCCAGGUCGAAAACCUUACAGCACAACUGAAAGAAGAGGAGAAAGAGUUUAUAAUGAAGGAAAAAAAGUUAAUUCAUGACUUAACCAUAUUUGAGGAUUUAAUUCUUAAGGAAACAAAAAUUAACAAAGAAACAGAAGAAGAGCUUAAUGAUAGUCUUCCACAACUUCAUAUGGCAGAAGAAGAGUACAUGGAAAAACACCGAAAGCUACAAGAGCUCUGUGCGAUCCUCGCAGUACAUUUCAUACUUAAAGAACAAAACAGAGGAAUACAGAAAAGGACAAGACUUCCUCACGUACAGCUUCAAGGACCUGUCCUGGGAACUGAUAGCCCAACACAGUAAGUAAUGUAUCCUGGAUCCUCUUGAUACAU
rnacentral:lncRNA from 1 species